UACAGAGGGUGCGAGCGUUAAUCGGAAUUACUGGGCGUAAAGCGUGCGUAGACGGCUAUCUAAGUCGGGUGUGAAAGCCCCGGGCUCAACUUGGGAAUUGCAUUCGAGACUGAAUAGCUAGGGUACGGUAGAGGGAAGUGGAAUUUCCGGUGUAGCGGUGAAAUGCGUAGAUAUCGGAAGGAACAUCAGUGGCGAAAGCGACUUCCUGGACCAGUACCGACGUUCAGGCACGAAAGCGUGGGGAGCAAACAGG
rnacentral:rRNA from 1 species